rnacentral:rRNA from 1 species
AACGAACGCUGGCGGCAUGCUUAACACAUGCAAGUCGAACGAGACCGCCCGGCCUAGGUGCGCUCGUGUGGUUAACGCGGGGGAACUUGCACGUAGGUUCGGAAUAACUGCCUGUAAGGUGUGCUAAUAACGGUGAAUGUCAUCGCGCCAACGAUGUCUCGCCUUAGGGUGGGCCCGCGUUGGAUUAGCUAGUUGGUAGGGUAAAAGCCGGCCAAGGCCACGAUGCAGAGCUGGUCGGGGAGGAUGAUCAGCCACACUGGGACUGAGACACGGCCCAGACUCCUACGGAAGGCAGCAGUGGGGAAUAUUGGACAAGGGGGGAAAGCCUGGUCCAGCCGCGCCGCGUGAGUGAUGAAGCCCUUAGGAUUGUGAAGCUCUUUUACCCGGAACGAUAAUGACAGUACCGGGAGAAUAAGCUCCGGCUAACUCCGUG